GUUAUUCGCUUGUUCUGUUUAAUUUAAUUCAGACCUACGUUCACGUCUAAAAUAUUUCAACAUAUUACAUAAAGUACUUUGAACUUUUGUGUGUAAUUUAAUUUAUAUUCCAACCGCGCAAUAAUCGAAUGUUCUGCCACGAUUUGAAAUUGCAUUAAAUAAUCAAAUAAUUAUUACAUCGGUAUAGGUACGCCCAGGAGCGGAUCCAGAAGUCACCCGAGGAAGAGGGGAGGGCGGGGGGGGGGAAUUUUCAAAAAUUAAAUUACCUUUUUUUCUAUUUAACCUGUAUUGGAGGUUGAUUAUUUGUGUAAAUAUCUAUAAAUUCAUCAAAUAAUUAUGGUAUACAAGUGCAUACGACUAUACUAGUGAACGAAUCGUACGUUUAAUAUAUUAGUAUGACAGAUACGUGAAUAUAAAACCAUUAACUUUAUGAAAUACAGAGAAGAUAAUGUGUGUUCAGCUCAGUGGCAUAUGUAGGGAAGGGUUUUCGGGGCUCGACUCAUUCAUUUAGUCUAUGUAACUAAAACUAAAACUCAAAAGGUUUUUUUAUAAUCCCCCUCUCCGAAUUAAUUUCUAUAUACGCUACUGGUUCUGCCGUUUCCCAACAUAUACUCUAUGACUAUUAAUAGUUUAUUAUUAGCGAUU